rnacentral:rRNA from 1 species
UACCGCAAACCGACACAGGUAGGUGAGGAGAGAAUCCUAAGGCCGGCGGAAGAAUUACAGUUAAGGAACUCGGCAAAUUGACCCCGUAAGUUCGCGAGAAGGGGUGCCUACGAGAGUAGGCCGCAGAGAAUAGGCCCAAGCAACUGUUUAGCAAAAACACAGGUCUCUGCUAAAGCGUAAGCUGAUGUAUAGGGGCUGACGCCUGCCCGGUGCUGGAAGGUUAAGGGGAACACUUAGCGCAAGCGAAGGUGUGAACUUAAGCCCCAGUAAACGGCGGCCGUAACUAUAACGGUCCUAAGGUAGCGAAAUUCCUUGUCAGGUAAGUUCUGACCCGCACGAAUGGCGUAAUGACUUGGGCACUGUCUCAACUGUAAAUCCGGCGAAGUUGUAGUGCGAGUGAAGAUGCUCGCUACCCGCGAUUGGACGGAAAGACCCCGUAGAGCUUUACUGUAGCUUAGCAUUGAGUUUUGGUAUUGUCUGUACAGGAUAGGUGGGAGACUAGGAAACCAGGGCGUCAGCCUUGGUGGAGUCAACCUUGGGAUACCACCCUGACAGUACUGAAAUUCUAACUGGCGGCCAUGAAUCUGGUCACAGGACAUUGUUAGGUGGGCAGUUUGACUGGGGCGGUCGCCUCCUAAAAAGUAACGGAGGCGCCCAAAGGUUCCCUCAGAACGGUCGGAAAUCGUUCGAAGAGUGCAAAGGCAGAAGGGAGCCUGACUGCGACACCCACAAGUGGAGCAGGGACGAAAGUCGGGCUUAGUGAUCCGGUGGUACCUCGUGGGAGGGCCAUCGCUCAACGGAUAAAAGCUACCUCGGGGAUAACAGGCUGAUCUCCCCCAAGAGUCCACAUCGACGGGGAGGUUUGGCACCUCGAUGUCGGCUCGUCGCAUCCUGGGGCUGAAGUAGGUCCCAAGGGUUGGGCUGUUCGCCCAUUAAAGCGGCACGCGAGCUGGGUUCAGAACGUCGUGAGACAGUUCGGUCCCUAUCCGUCGCGGGCGUAGGAAAUUUGAGAGGAGCUGUCCUUAGUACGAGAGGACCGGGAUGGACUGACCUCUGGUGUACCAGUUGUUCCGCCAGGAGCACAGCUGGGUAGCUAAGUCGGGAAUGGAUAAACGCUGAAAGCAUCUAAGCGUGAAGCCAACCUCAAGAUGAGAUUUCCCAUAGCGUAAGCUAGUAAGAUCCCUUGAAGAACACAAGGUUGAUAGGUCGGGGGUGUAAGCAUGGUAACAUGUUCAGCUGACCGAUACUAAUAGAUCGAGGGCUUGACCAA